rnacentral:lncRNA from 1 species
AUACAAAAAUAUUCAAGUGAAAGCAUACAACAAAUCCCUUCAACUUACUAGAAGGACUCAAAGAUUAUGAUCUUCUUUUAAUUAACACCUCAUCCCAAAUAUUUAAAUAAGGUUCAAGCAUGAAACCUUUCCACUGAUUUGCUGUCAUGUUCUUCCCAACUCUGCUUAAGCCUGAUUUAAGAUGUCUACAUACAGUGUUUGCUUAUCUCUCUAUGAUUCUGGUGGCUGCUGUCAUUCCAUGGCUUAUAGCUUCAUCACUCCAAUCUUCAAAGGAGACAGUAUUUUUGAAUCUUUGAUCUAUCUACAUGUCACCUUUUUCUCUGUAAUUGUGCCUGCUCUUCUUGACUCACGAAAAUACUGCAAAAGAAACUUGCUUUGUCUGCCCUGA